rnacentral:misc_RNA from 1 species
AUGAGAUGAUAGAAAGAAAGGUUGUCCCAAAAUUUAAAUUGUGAUAAUGAAUUUAGAAUUAAAUUGAAGGUAGUGGUCCAUCAUUUCCUCCACCAAAUCAAAAGGUCAAUAUGAAUAUUUAAGUAUUUAAUUAGAUAUAAUGAAUGUUCGUUGCAUGUCUAUUUGGUGACACGUAACAGAUUUAGUGAUUGCCAAAUAGAUGUUAGCCAAGGUCAAGAAACUAUAAGAAGGGAAGGGAUCAUUGUUGCCACUAGAAUUAAUAGUGAGUAGUAACUAGGGUUAGAGUGCCAAUCAUUUAGGGUCACGGCUCACUAGUAAGAAUUUUUCAAGGGCUGCACAUUAACAAUCGCCAAGAGUAAUUGCAUGAUUGUUUAAGAAAUUAUAUGCAGCAGGUAAGGCAAACUUUA